UCUCAUUUCACCGGUUUUUUCUUUCACUCUUUCAGAAUCAAGCACAAAUACAGGCUCCAACGUGAGACUGCUGCAGUAUGGAUAAAAUUGAGAAUACUUACAUUGAGGCAGAGGAGGUGAAUAUUGCUAUGCUGUAAAAUGCUAAUAAAAUAGAAGAACUGAAGUCAAUUAAAAACCUGAAAACCCUCAGUACACUUUUCAGAGGGAAAAAAAUGUAAGGAAUCUGCAUCGAACCAGAAGUUGGAGUAUCUGUGGGCUGAUAAAGGACUCGUAGCCACUAUUGAUUUCAGCUGUUCUUAUACUCACUGUUGUUGUUGCCAUGCUUGCCACUGAAGAAACAUGAGCACAGUCACUCAGUGCACAAUGCAAAUCACACUGUGCAUGUGCACAAUGUCACAGAAAUGGCAUAAUAACAACUGAACCCCAUGUUGUUCCACACCUGUAUGCUUUUCUAUAUUCUGAAGAAAUAUUUUCAUUCAUUCAGUGAAACUCAAAACUAUAUUGAACCCUACUGACAGUUUUCAGAAUAUUGUUUUUGUGAUCCACAGAAGAAAGAAAGUCAUACAGGUUUGGAACGUCUUGGGGUUGAGUCUAUAAUGAUUUUUUUUUUUACAUUAACUAUCCCUUUAAGAAUAUAUUUUUAACUCAAUGUUAUUACUGAAUCAAUCUGCUGUUGUAUUAAGAUGUUGAAGGUUGCACACUAAAGUUCAUUAGUACACUUUGUCAUAUAAACAUGACUUGGCAGGAAAGGUGAUCAAGAAACACAUUCCCCAUGAAAACUGUUUGGUAUGUAAACACAGAGACCAAAAGCAGGGGAAUUUUCUGAUGUCAAGUGCAGAUAUCCUUUUUAUUCAGUGACAAAAGGAGCACAAAUUAUAUAUAUUUGUCAUGUUCUACUGAAAAGUUAUGUAAAAACUACAUAGAAUUGACCUGCUCUGACAUGAUUUUCAAUUUAAGGAAAAUACUCAAAACAAACAUCCAGCUCUAUUUUAAUCACCUUUCUGAGUAAGCAAAAAAGAUGAGAGUAAUAAGGGACUGUUCACCCAAAACACAUACAGAUUUCAUUCUAACAGAAUACAAUCCAACUGCCUUUUUCUCACCUUAUACAAAGUACAUUUUUAUUUUCAGAUUCACACGUAAAUGAUGCGAUUUUUUUAAUGGCAACAAAAUCUAGAUUUUCUCUGCGCAUGAAAUGCGAAGCGUGCAAUGUUUGAAACAUUGAGAAUACUUUUUAUUGAAAUGUCUCAGUUAAUUGUGUGUGUGUGUGUGUGUGUGUUGCACAUGCAAAGAGCAUAAAUAAACAGCAGAGGGCACCAUUUAAUCUAUAAUAUUAAUCUGCAUAAAUACCAGAUUUUAAAGUGAACUGUCCCAUAUUGUCAAGAGUGGACAAGACAAAUAUUUUGAAGUAAAGCACUCUAAAAGUG